rnacentral:rRNA from 1 species
GACGAACGCUGGCGGCGUGCCUAAUACAUGCAAGUAGAACGCUGAAGAGAGGAGCUUGCUCUUCUUGGAUGAGUUGCGAACGGGUGAGUAACGCGUAGGUAACCUGCCUUGUAGCGGGGGAUAACUAUUGGAAACGAUAGCUAAUACCGCAUAACAAUGGAUGACACAUGUCAUUUAUUUGAAAGGGGCAAUUGCUCCACUACAAGAUGGACCUGCGUUGUAUUAGCUAGUAGGUGAGGUAACGGCUCACCUUGGCGACGAUACAUAGCCGACCUGAGAGGGUGAUCGGCCACACUGGGACUGAGACACGGCCCAGACUCCUACGGGAGGCAGCAGUAGGGAAUCUUCGGCAAUGGGGGCAACCCUGACCGAGCAACGCCGCGUGAGUGAAGAAGGUUUUCGGAUCGUAAAGCUCUGUUGUAAGUCAAGAACGAGUGUGAGAGUGGAAAGUUCACACUGUGACGGUAGCUUACCAGAAAGGGACGGCUAACUACGUGCCAGCAGCCGCGGUAAUACGUAGGUCCCGAGCGUUGUCCGGAUUUAUUGGGCGUAAAGCGAGCGCAGGCGGUUUGAUAAGUCUGAAGUUAAAGGCUGUGGCUCAACCAUAGUUCGCUUUGGAAACUGUCAAACUUGAGUGCAGAAGGGGAGAGUGGAAUUCCAUGUGUAGCGGUGAAAUGCGUAGAUAUAUGGAGGAACACCGGUGGCGAAAGCGGCUCUCUGGUCUGUAACUGACGCUGAGGCUCGAAAGCGUGGGGAGCGAACAGGAUUAGAUACCCUGGUAGUCCACGCCGUAAACGAUGAGUGCUAGGUGUUGGAUCCUUUCCGGGAUUCAGUGCCGCAGCUAACGCAUUAAGCACUCCGCCUGGGGAGUACGACCGCAAGGUUGAAACUCAAAGGAAUUGACGGGGGCCCGCACAAGCGGUGGAGCAUGUGGUUUAAUUCGAAGCAACGCGAAGAACCUUACCAGGUCUUGACAUCCCGAUGCUAUUUCUAGAGAUAGAAAGUUACUUCGGUACAUCGGUGACAGGUGGUGCAUGGUUGUCGUCAGCUCGUGUCGUGAGAUGUUGGGUUAAGUCCCGCAACGAGCGCAACCCCUGUUGUUAGUUGCCAUCAUUCAGUUGGGCACUCUAGCGAGACUGCCGGUAAUAAACCGGAGGAAGGUGGGGAUGACGUCAAAUCAUCAUGCCCCUUAUGACCUGGGCUACACACGUGCUACAAUGGUUGGUACAACGAGUUGCGAGUCGGUGACGGCAAGCUAAUCUCUUAAAGCCAAUCUCAGUUCGGAUUGUAGGCUGCAACUCGCCUACAUGAAGUCGGAAUCGCUAGUAAUCGCGGAUCAGCACGCCGCGGUGAAUACGUUCCCGGGCCU